GGCUCAGGACGAACGCUGGCGGCGUGCUUAACACAUGCAAGUCGAACGGAAAGGCCCAGCUUGCUGGGUGCUCGAGUGGCGAACGGGUGAGUAACACGUGGGUGAUCUGCCCCUGACUUUGGGAUAAGCCUGGGAAACUGGGUCUAAUACCGGAUAUGACCAUCUCUCGCAUGGGAGUUGGUGGAAAGCCUUGUGCGGUUGGGGAUGGGCCCGCGGCCUAUCAGCUUGUUGGUGGGGUAAUGGCCUACCAAGGCGACGACGGGUAGCCGACCUGAGAGGGUGAUCGGCCACACUGGGACUGAGACACGGCCCAGACUCCUACGGGAGGCAGCAGUGGGGAAUAUUGCACAAUGGGCGCAAGCCUGAUGCAGCGACGCCGCGUGAGGGAUGACGGCCUUCGGGUUGUAAACCUCUUUCACCAGGGACGAAGCGCAAGUGACGGUACCUGGAGAAGAAGCACCGGCCAACUACGUGCCAGCAGCCGCGGUAAUACGUAGGGUGCGAGCGUUGUCCGGAAUUACUGGGCGUAAAGAGCUCGUAGGCGGUUUGUCGCGUCGUCUGUGAAAUUCUGCAGCUUAACUGCAGGCGUGCAGGCGAUACGGGCAGACUUGAGUACUACAGGGGAGACUGGAAUUCCUGGUGUAGCGGUGAAAUGCGCAGAUAUCAGGAGGAACACCGGUGGCGAAGGCGGGUCUCUGGGUAGUAACUGACGCUGAGAGCG
rnacentral:rRNA from 1 species